GCGUUUCUGUUAUGUACGAGCGUUUUUAUCACCAUACACCUCUUGAUCCUAAUUUUAAUACUUUGGAUCGCCGACAUUAGAGUUUGGUGUGCAAGCUGAUUUAGUUCAGAAGCCUAAAGAACUCUAUUAGGUAUCCACUUGAACGUACGCGUUCAAGAGUCUUGGUGAUUUGCAACCGACUACUACGGAAGCGCA
rnacentral:other from 1 species